UACGUAGGGUGCGAGCGUUGUCCGGAAUUAUUGGGCGUAAAGGGCUCGUAGGCGGUUUGUCGCGUCGGGAGUGAAAUCCACUGGCUUAACUGGUGGCUUGCUUUCGAUACGGGCAGACUGGAGGUAUGCAGGGGAGAACGGAAUUCCUGGUGUAGCGGUGAAAUGCGUAGAUAUCGGGAGGAACACCAGUGGCGAAGGCGGUUCCCUGGGGCUUUGCUGACGCUGAUGCGCGAAAGCGUGGGGAGCGAUCCGG
rnacentral:rRNA from 1 species